AAAGUUCUGUGAUUUGAAGUGCAGUACACGGGCAAGUGGAAACCAGCGAGGUUGGAGAAGCAGUCAGGAAUCAAAUCAUUUCAGGUUUCUUUGCCACGGCAGGGGACGUGAACUUUACUUGAAGUGUGACAGAUAUCAAGACACACUCCCUGACUCUGAAAGAAACACUGUGACACAGCUGAAGAACGCUGGAUAGGAGUUUCUGUGCUGGCUAGCUCAAUCACCAUGAAGAAGUUCACUUCUUAGAAAUGAUGAAGAGAAACUGCCAACUACUUCAGGGUUUCUAGUGUUACUACUAUAGUGUAAGUGGCUGACACCAAGCUUCUGAUGGUCUAGACAUCCAUAUCAAAGACACCCUUCUCAAAUAAAAAUAUUGCCAGCUCUAUAACACACUACCAGCAAACUAGAUAAGAAACCAGGCCACGCUGACCCAUUAAAGUCCCCUUUUAGAAAGUCCUAGUAACCUAGUAAAUCGCCACUCAAGUGACCCCACUUUUCCCUUCUCAUGCUCUAACUCCCAGUUAUGUUUUUAAUUCACCAAUAAAGAAUGAACCUGUGAAACUCCAGGCACCUUACCUUCACACUCUGAUAAAGGUAGAGCCCCCAGGUCCACACACACUCUUCCUCUCCACCCUCAACUUCCCUGUGUGGCCCUAGGCGUGCUAUGGACCCUCCAGGCCUUUUGAGUAAAGAAGCUUGGGUUUUGUUUUGUUGUUUUCUUCAAAUUCCCCUGAUGGUUGUUAUUAGGCACAUCCUGCAAUCAUAACCACCACAAGGGCUGCACCAGCCAGAAAAGUGGCUCUGGUUGGGGAAAUACCUAUGGGGGCUCAACUCAUGUAUUAACGGCCCAGGUGAAUGCCUCAGGUAUUUCUAGCUGACAGAA